rnacentral:rRNA from 1 species
AAGGUACAGAAUUGUGAUCUCAUGCAACCAGUAUUUAUUUAUAUAUUAAUAAAAAAAGAACAACUUGUUUGUGUACUCAUACUAGGUUAUCCUACGUAAGUAUUCACGCAUGUUUAUCUUUUUAGGUUAAUUUAUAAUAUUAACAAAAAUAUACUUUUUGUGGACAUUGGGGGGUCGUGAAGACUCUAUCAGUGAGUAUUUGUUCUCGGAAGGACUAGAUAUGUAUAUUGAAUAAUCGGACAUAGUACGAUAAGGUUGUAUGUCUAAAGGGAAAUAGCCCAGAACAAGAGUUAAUAAGGUUCCAAAAUUUUUGUUAAGUGAAAUUAAGGCAGUAUUUAUCCCAAUCGGCCAGGGAAUAGGCUUAGAAGCGGCCAUUUUUUGAAGACCUCGUAACAGAGCACUGGUUUUAUAUUUUAUGGAUAAAAGCACCGAAAAUUUAACGGAUCUAAACAAAAUACCGACACCUUGUCCAUAUAUAUUAAUGUGUAUAUUAUAUAUUGUAUAUAUGGGGUAGCGGAACAUUGGGCGUGAAACAGUCAUUUUUAAUCCUUUAUAAGGAUUAAAUUGCCUAGAGUUUUUUAUUAAUUUCUAGACUAAAUAAGCCCAAGUGAUAAUGCUGACAUGAGUAACGAUAAAGGAUCAUUAAUACAUAAAAUAUUAGAGAAUCCUCGCCUAAAGCUUAUGGAAUUUAUUAAAGUUACGGCCUCUAAGUUUAUUUUUUUGUCUUAGCUUCCGAUUAUUUAUAUAUAGUAUAUAUUUAAUAUCUACGUCUAAAUAGUCGAGAGUUAUGACAGAUUACCUAAUGGUAUAGACGAUGAGAAAACCUAGAGUUUACAGUAAUUAACGUUUUUUAUUUACGUAUUAACUGAAACUCCGCUUAUUCCAUUGAAUUGUUAUUUUAAUAAUCUAUUCUUAAAGGAAAAACGGAAGAUCUUUACUAAUAUUUUAAGUAAAUUAUGUGAAAAAUGUUCUGGAAAACUGUAAGCUCCGUAAGUAAUAUAAAAAAAGUAAAACAAA